CGGUCUGGCGGCGAGUGGUGAACGGGUGAGUAAUGUAUCGGAACGUGCCCAGUAGCGGGGGAUAACUACUCGAAAGAGUAGCUAAUACCGCAUACGCCCUACGGGGGAAAGGGGGGGAUCGCAAGACCUCUCACUAUUGGAGCGGCCGAUAUCGGAUUAGCUAGUUGGUGAGGUAAAGGCUCACCAAGGCGACGAUCCGUAGCUGGUUUGAGAGGACGACCAGCCACACUGGGACUGAGACACGGCCCAGACUCCUACGGGAGGCAGCAGUGGGGAAUUUUGGACAAUGGGGGCAACCCUGAUCCAGCCAUCCCGCGUGUGCGAUGAAGGCCUUCGGGUCGUAAAGCACUUUUGGCAGGAAAGAAAUCGCAUGGAUUAAUACUCUGUGUGGAUGACGGUACCUGCAGAAUAAGCACCGGCUAACUACGUGCCAGCAGCCGCGGUAAUACGUAGGGUGCAAGCGUUAAUCGGAAUUACUGGGCGUAAAGCGUGCGCAGGCGGUUCGGGAAGAAAGAUGUGAAAUCCCAGGGCUUAACCUUGGAACUGCAUUUUUAACUCCCGAGCUAGAGUGCGUCAGAGGGGGGUGGAAUUCCGCGUGUAGCAGUGAAAUGCGUAGAUAUGCGGAGGAACACCGAUGGCGAAGGCAGCCCCCUGGGAUGACACUGACGCUCAUGCACGAAAGCGUGGGGAGCAAACAGGA
rnacentral:rRNA from 1 species